UACGGGGGGGGCAAGCGUUGUUCGGAAUUACUGGGCGUAAAGGGCUCGUAGGCGGCCAACUAAGUCAGACGUGAAAUCCCUCGGCUUAACCGGGGAACUGCGUCUGAUACUGGAUGGCUUGAGUUUGGGAGAGGGAUGCGGAAUUCCAGGUGUAGCGGUGAAAUGCGUAGAUAUCUGGAGGAACACCGGUGGCGAAGGCGGCAUCCUGGACCAACACUGACGCUGAGGAGCGAAAGCGUGGGGAGCGAACAGG
rnacentral:rRNA from 1 species